GAGGCUGGGAAUCAAAGAGAAACAGGGAGUGGCUGAGGUCCCAAUAUCCUCUUCAAGGAUAUUUAUGGCACCCCUCCCCCACCCCCAAUAAUGUGGCACUUUUUCUAGGCCUCAUAGGCUGAAAACUCCAAUACCUCCCAAAAGAAUUGUGGGGCUUUGGACCAUUCUUUCAACAUAUGGGCCUUUGGAAAACACUUCACACUUGAACUCUAACAAUGACCUCAGACACAGAAUGGUGCCUUAGAUAAUUUUAUGUACUGUGUGAUUUUCGAA